UGCNUUCAGGAAAAGCCUCUAAGCAUCAGGUAACAUCAAAUCGUACCCCAAACCGACACAGGUGGUCAGGUAGAGAAUACCAAGGCGCUUGAGAGAACUCGGGUGAAGGAGCAAAAUGGUGCCGUAACUUCGGGAGAAGGCACGCUGAUAUGUAGGUGAGGUCCCUCGCGGAUGGAGCUGAAAUCAGUCGAAGAUACCAGCUGGCUGCAACUGUUUAUUAAAACACAGCACUGUGCAAACGAAAGUGGACGUAUACGUGUGACGCCUCCCCGGUGCCGGAAGGUUAAUUGAUGGGGUUAGCGCAAGCGAAGCUCUUGAUCGAAGCCCCGGUAAACGGCGGCCGUAACGAUAACGGUCCUAAGGUAGCGAAAUUCCUUGUCGGGUAAGUUCCGACCUGCACGAAUGGCGUAAUGAUGGCCAGGCUGUCUCCACCGAGACUCAGUGAAAUUGAACUCGCUGUGAAGAUGCAGUGUACCCGCGGCAAGACGGAAAGACCCCGUGAACCUUUACUAUAGCUUGACACUGAACACUGAGCCUUGAUGUGUAGGAUAGGUGGGAGGCUUUGAAGUGUGGACGCCAGUCUGCAUGGAGCCGACCAUGAAAUACCACCCUUUAAUGUUUGAUGUUCUAACGUUGACCCGUAAUCCGGGUUGCGGACAGUGUCUGGUGGGUAGUUUGACUGGGGCGGUCUCCUCCUAAAGAGUAACGGAGGAGCACGAAGGUUGGCUAAUCCUGGUCGGACAUCAGGAGGUUAGUGCAAUGGCAUAAGCCAGCUUGACUGCGAGCGUGACGGCGCGAGCAGGUGCGAAAGCAGGUCAUAGUGAUCCGGUGGUUCUGAAUGGAAGGGCCAUCGCUCAACGGAUAAAAGGUACUCCGGGGAUAACAGGCUGAUACCGCCCAAGAGUUCAUAUCGACGGCGGUGUUUGGCACGAUGUCGGCUCAUCACAUCCUGGGGCUGAAGUUGGUCCCAAGGGUAUGGCUGUUCGCCAUUUAAAGUGGUACGCGAGCUGGGUUUAGAACGUCGUGAGACAGUUCGGUCCCUAUCUGCCGUGGGCGCUGGAGAACUGAGGGGCUGCUCCUUAGUACGAGAGGACCGGAGUGGACGCAUCACUGGUGUUCAGGUUGUCAUGCCAAUGGCACCCGGCAGCUAAAUGCGGAAGAGAUAAGUGCUGAAAGCAUCUGGCGAAACUUGCCCCGAGAUGAGUUCUCCCUGACUCCUUGAGAGUCCUGAAGGAACGUUGAAGACGACGACGUUGAUAGGCCGGGUGUGUAAGCGCAGCGAUGCGUUGAGCUAACCGGUACUAAUGAACCGUGAGGCU
rnacentral:rRNA from 1 species